GUGGGGAAUUGUUCACAAUGGGCGCAAGCCUGAUGCAGCGACGCCGCGUGAGGGAUGACGGCCUUCGGGUUGUAAACCUCUUUCAGCAGGGACGAAGCGUGAGUGACGGUACCUGCAGAAGAAGCACCGGCUAACUACGUGCCAGCAGCCGCGGUAAUACGUAGGGUGCGAGCGUUGUCCGGAAUUAUUGGGCGUAAAGAGCUCGUAGGCGGUUUGUUGCGUCGGCUGUGAAAACUUCACGCUUAACGUGGAGCCUGCAGUCGAUACGGGCAGACUUGAGUUCGGCAGGGGAGACUGGAAUUCCUGGUGUAGCGGUGAAAUGCGCAGAUAUCAGGAGGAACGCCGGUGGCGAAGGCGGCGUCCUGGACCAAUACUGACACUGAGGAGCGAAAGCCAGGGGAGCAAA
rnacentral:rRNA from 1 species